rnacentral:rRNA from 1 species
GACGAACGCUGGCGGCGUGCUUAACACAUGCAAGUCGAACGGAAAGGCCCUGCUUUUGUGGGGUGCUCGCGUGGCGAACGGGUGAGUAACCCGUGAGUAACCUGCCCUUGACUUUGGGAUAACUUCAGGAAACUGGGGCUAAUACCGGCUAGGAGCUCCUGCUGCAUGGUGGGGGUUGGACAGUUUCGGCGGUUGGGGAUGGACUCGCGGCUUAUCAGCUUGUUGGUGGGGUAGUGGCUUACCAAGGCUUUGACGGGUAGCCGGCCUGGGAGGGUGACCGGCCACAUUGGGACUGAGAUACGGCCCAGACUGCUAUGGGAGGCAGCAGUGGGGAAUAUGGCACAAUGGGCGGAAGCCUGAGGCAGCGACGCCGCGUGCGGGAUGACGGCCUUCGGGUUGUAAACCGCUUUCACCUGUUACGAAGCGUGAGUGACGGUAAUGGGUAAAGAAGCACCGGCUAACUACGUG